AACGCGAAGAACCUUACCGGGUCUUGACAUCCCUUGACGGCAGUGGAAACAUUGCUUCCCUUCGGGGCAAGGAGACAGGUGGUGCAUGGUUGUCGUCAGCUCGUGUCGUGAGAUGUUGGGUUAAGUCCCGCAACGAGCGCAACCCUUAUUUUCAGUUACUAACGGGUAGAGCCGAGGACUCUGGAGAGACUGCCGUGGACAACACGGAGGAAGGUGGGGACGACGUCAAAUCAUCAUGCCCCUUAUGACCCGGGCUACACACGUGCUACAAUGGCCGCAACAAAGAGAAGCGAAGCUGUAAAGCGGAGCGGAUCUCAAAAAAGCGGUCUCAGUUCGGAUCGUGGGCUGCAACCCGCCCACGUGAAGUCGGAGUUGCUAGUAAUCGCGGAUCAGCAUGCCGCGGUGAAUACGUUCCCGGGCCUUGUACACACCGACGCGUA
rnacentral:rRNA from 1 species